CUUCUUGAAUUUAUGUGAAGUCGGACCUGUCCACUGAAAUUAUUUUAAAGGGCCGCGGUAUUUUGACCGUGCAAAGGUAGCAUAAUCAUUAGUCUCUUAAUUAGGGGCUGGAAUGAAUGGUUUGACGAAAUAAUAACUGUCUCUAAUAUAAUUGAAUUGAAUUUUACUUUUAAGUUAAAAGGCUUAAAUAAUAAUAAGGGACGAGAAGACCCUAUAGAUUUUUAUAGUAUAAUUUAUAAUGUUAAUUUUAGUUGUUAGUAUUAUUUUAUAAUUUAUAUUAUUUUAUUGGGGUGAUAUGAGAAUAUAUUAACUUCUUAGUUUUUGACUUUGAUAGAUGAUUAAUUGAUCCUUUAAUAUGGAAUAAAGAUUAAAAUACCUUAGGGAUAACAGCGUAAUCUUAUUGAAGAGUUCUUAUUGAUAAUAAGGAUUGCGACCUCGAUGUUGGAUUAGGAAUAUGAGUUGGUGUAGAAGCUAAUUUUAUUGGUCUGUUC
rnacentral:rRNA from 1 species